GGGUUAUGAACAUCAGUGGUUUUUGUUUACAAUCUGAUGGCAGUUAUGAGAUGAAUUUUCAUUGGCUGAGCUUUGGUAAACUUGAGUCUCACUUCCUUCCUUUCUGAUGCUUUGCAUGACUGUAGAAUAGCAACAGUAGGCCUAUCAUUUGCUGGCACACUUUCCUUAUGUGAGUGCUGGAGUCUGGCAAUCUGACUGGCGAAGAGCUUGCACCUUCUGUGCUGGAUAUACUUGAAGCAUUUGGUUUGUUAUAUUAGAGCCUGUCAUCUGGCUCUUGUACUUGAAAAUGAAAAUCGGGCCGGUGGUUCUUCCAAACCCAGCAAUUUCUUCUGCUUUUGUGCUCAUGUUGCUGUUCUGACACCUACACAAAUGUUUCUAUUUAUAUACUCAGUCUUUAUCAAAGUCUAGCACACAGCAUUUCAACUUUUAAUACAUUUUAAUUGAUAACAGUAUGAAAUUGUAAUGAAAAUGAUUAAUAUUUAAUGCAUUCUUGUUUAUUUGAAUUUGAAUGAUUAUUAUUUAAUUUAGAUACAUUCUUUGAGUCAUGGUCCAGGAGCCCCUCCUACACAGUAAGAGCCAACCAGAUCUACUUGUGUUAAAGCCUAGGUGGCACUGAUGUGCAGUCAAGACCUAUAAAGCUGCAGAGCUCACAGAUGAAUUCUCACAUUCUGGCUUUACAGGAAGAAGCUCCAUUAUACAAGUUAUGAACUGGAAUCCCACUACAUCAUUCCCAGCUAUUUGGUCAUGUGCUAUUAUAGUAGGGCAUGAUUCUCUGUGGCGUUGGGGGUCCCACCUGACCCUGUAUGAGUGCUAAGGCCUGAGAAUUGGAUUACAGCUUAUCCAUAUCAGCAUCUGUAGCUUCCAAACAAAGCCUGUGGGCCCCUGGGCAUAUUUCAAGCAAGCCAGAGUUCACCAAGGACACUCCUGACUGGAAAAGUGGAAUGGCAGAGGACUAUCCAGUGCCAUAAUCCUCUUUCCCUCAACACAUUACCUGAUACACCAGCACAUCGAUUGGCUAACACUACCAACAGAAUCAUAA